rnacentral:lncRNA from 1 species
CAAAAAGAUAAACCAGGCCCAGCAUUAGAAGAAGCCAAUACGAAGUAUAAAACAUACAGAGACUACGUUGUCCAAAAUUAUUACUCUAAUGCCAGCAAUUCGUUACUUACAAGCACGGCAAGUAUUUGAGUUUUAAUUUGUAUUUAACCAUGUUUGUUUCCUUGGGGAUUAUUCAGUUUAUUGCCUAUAACAUGUUAAUUACAAACAGCUUGUUUCAACCAUGUUUGCAACGCUGAAGAAAGUGCUUUUGAGACUAAAAACCCUGGUUCCAGGCAAUUAUGAACGCUUGCGCCAUGCCAAAAAGCUAAUCUCUACAUUGUAGAAACUGAAAACCGCAGUGUCUAAGAUUGAAAAACACCUUCACAUAACAAGUGAAGAAGCCAAGAACUGAAACUCGAGGUCACUAAGUUAGCCAAUAAAUUGAAGCUAAUCCUCAAUGAACUUGACACUGUAGGUCAACAAGCACCAGGAAGAAUUGAGGCCUCUAAUUGUGCUGCUAAGGUACAUGGUUAUAUGGAUUACGGCUUCUUAUUCUCUUAUCGACUUCACAAUAGGCUUGAGAAGAUCAUCAAUAAAUUCAAUCGUCUUGUAAAUUCAAGUUUGAUCCUCAUGUGCUUAUUGUCAUAUGGAAUUGGAUGAAACAAUACGCCAAACACUUGGUGUGCAUAUUCUGAUGAACCUGCACAAGUUACUUAUGUCGCAUCUACAAUGUGAAUCCACUAGCAUGUCUCCAUUGUUUAUAAACCUCACAAGCUUCAUAUAUUCUCCCAUCAUAACAACAAUGUACAUCCCUUCCAAUAUCCAACCAUACCAUACUUUUCUGUCACCCACGUGAAAACAUGUAUUACUUCCGGCUAGAUACUGUACGCUGCAAGCUUCUUCCCUAGCACAGCCAAAGAAAACUCUAGUUUCCAUUUGGAAUCUAGUUGAUUUCACUCUUUAAACUCCUCGUUUGGGAGUUUUGGGUGGUUUUAGAGUUCCUCUUUGAAGCAAUGGUUUCGGGGCUUUUCAGGCCGAUUUUG